GUUUAAAUAGUUUAAUAAAAAAAAAUUUUGAUUUGUGGUGUCAAAGAUGUAUUAUUUACUUUAAACC
rnacentral:tRNA from 1 species